ACUGCUUUAAAGUAUGAGGAUUUUAAGCUUUUGAGUUGUCCUACACUUAAAGCGAAACAAUGUGCUCCGCAGCUAUUCCCACGAGUAUUUUACGGUGACCUGUUGAACUUUGAAAGAUUUAUGUCAAUCCAUUUCUCUGACUAAUUCGACCAACUGGUCGCUGCCUGCUGUGGGCUUCCUUCCUGUUGCUAUCUAUCCCAGAUAUUUUUAUGUAUAGCUAUCCCCCCAGUUUGGCAUUCGCAAUGCUCCAUGGCAACCCUGGCCGGCCCAUAAAAUCCAACUACUUAACUACAAUGCGCCGCUGCAGUGCACUUAACGCAUUUUUCACGCUUGACAUUUGACUUGGGGCGCACUUUUCUCGUUGUCGUCGUCGUUUCUGCUUCUCUGCUGCCUUUUGUUGUGACUGGCCCUGGGGAAACGCAGAGUAUCCGAAGCUGAAAAACUCAAAGUAUCUGUGCGGUGCACCGCAACAGCUAUCCAAAGUCAGGCGUGCUCUUAAUUUUCGUUCUAUCAGCACAGUCAGGAGACACACAUUUAGCAUGUGACGUCACUUGGGGGCUAAGAAGCCAAACGUGAAUCAUCCGCGGCAGGCGCAAAUUGUUUUCCUCGCUUUUUUUUAGUCUGCUUUUUGAAUUUGUACACCAAAAUAAAUUUUCAUUUCCAAAGAUA
rnacentral:sRNA from 1 species